AAUCGUAUGACAGGCACUGUGAUCUCCACACAGUCUCACCUGGAGGUAGGAAACCAUGACUGCCACACUCACGGCCCUGCUCUGCAUCAGUGAGAACUGAGCGAUGGGAUGGGAAUGCCUAGUCUGCAACCCACAGCCAGGCCCUGGUCCAUCAGAAGAACAGGGGCACAGGAGGCUCUGGGGAGCAGAGGCCCUGCUGAGGCUCGAGGGCAAAGUGCUCACAGGGAACUCUCUUCCAGGGCUGAGUCUGGGCCCCAGGACUCCAGUGAAAGCAGGGACCCUAUCCAAACCUAGGCCCCAGGCUGAGCCAGGAUCUGUGAUACCAUGGGGGAAACCUGUGACCUUCUGGUGUGAGGGGACUAUGGGAGCCCAGGAAUAUGCUCUGCACAAAGAGGGAACUGAGAGCCUUGGAGAAAAUAAACAUCGUAGGAACUCAAGAACAUGGCCGUGUUCUCCAUUCCAUCCGUGACAGAGCACCAUGCAGGGCUACAUCGAUGCUACUAUGGAACCCUUCUGGCUACUCAGAGCCCAGUGAGCCCCUGGAGCUGGUGAUUAUAGGAGCCUACAGCAAACCCAGCCUCUCAGCUCUGCCCAGACUUGUGGUGACCUCAGCAAGGAAGAUGACCCUCCAGUGUAUGGCACAGCUGGGAUUUGACAGGUUCAUUCUGACUAAGGCAGGAGGAGACAAACUUUCCUGGACACUGGACUCACAGCGAGGCCCCAGUGAGCAGGCUAAAGCCCUGUUCCAUGUGAGCCCUGUGACCCCCAGACAAAGGUGGACAUUCAGAUGCUGCAGCUAUUACUGGAACCAAUCCCAGCUGUGGUCAGAAACCAGGGAAACCCUGGAGCUCCAGAUCUCAGGAGUCUACAGCAAACCCAGCCUCUCAGCCCUGUCCAGCCCUGUGGUGACCUCAGGGGAGAAUGUGACCCCAAAGUGUGGCUCAUGGGAGGGAUCUGACAGGUUCUUUGUGAUUAAGAUAGGAGAAGACAAGCUCUACUGGACACUAGACUCACAACCAGGCCCUAACCAACAGGUCCUGGCCCUAUUCCCUGUGGGUGCUUUGAACCCUAUGGAAAGAUAGACAUUCAAGUGCUAUGGCUGUUUUGCUACCAAACCUCAGGUGUGAUCAGAGCACAGUGAUGCCCUGGAGCUCCUGGUCUCAGAUCGUCCCUAGGAGGAGGUUGGGUCAGGACAUCUGUACUUCAUGGGGUGGUUUCAAAGCUAAGAGAAAUGUUGGGGUCCAGCCUGGGAGAGGAUCAGCACCAGAAGUGAGGAACAGGGAACCAAGAGCCUCACCUCCCCAUCCUUCCUAAGAUUCAUUGAAGAUCAUCAGCCCAGCACACCAGAGUCUGGAUCCCUAGGUGCCCCUCCUGUGUGGGCCUCAGUUUCUCCAGGUGCAGAGGAGAGGCCUGGCCCCUACCGUCAAGUUCCUCUCAGUGAUGACCUUGCUGUGAGCCUUGGAGAGUCAGCUUCGCAGGGGAGAUCCAGGAUGUGACUGCAGGGGUCCUGUCCCUCUCUGCAGUGACAGUGAUAGUGGGGAUGGUUCCAGGCAGAGCAGCACCAUUCCAAUUCUCUCCCUCAAACACAGGAGCUCGGCGCUUGUGGGAAAAGGAGUUUGGAAAUCAGACUCUCUGGGCUCAGUCCCCACUUGCCCCAUCCUUCUAUGUCACCUGGGACCCAAAACUGACCUGAAGUGGCACCACCAGUUCUUCCUCAGAACCUCACAUCCCAGUGAGGCCCUCUGUCCAACCAAGUCACCCUGUGUCCUGUUGCCAUCACUGGUCUUAGACCCCAGAACACAGUGGUGGUGGAGGGGAGGGUCCGCAGGGGAGCAUCCCCCCAUAAGGAGGCUAAUGCAGGCUGGAGCUCUCUGCCUGUGCUACCACCGUGAUGUCUCCCAUGGAGAUAAUGGGCAGGGAGAGACCCAAGGGGACAUAAGUGAGAUGGGAGGAAGUGGGAAUGGACUGAGGGAGAGGACAGGACCCAACCCUCUCCUCCUGAUGUCCCCACCACAGAGUCAGCUGCUCUGCUGUUCCAGUACCUCAGUCAUGACCCUGCCCAUGUGGGUGGAGGAGACACUGUAACGUGAGACCCGGGAGUCCUGCACACAUCCUAGCACUGUGUGUGAAUUUCAGGGCAGGAUCAGUCUCCAGAGGAGUGGGGAAGUGGACCCUGAGGGAGCCUGGUGGCUUCCUGGGGCUCUGAGGACAGGGUGCCUGCUUCCCUGUGGUGAGAGGGGUGGAGGUGUCUGAGGUCCAGGCAGGAAGCAGGGUCCUGGAGGGCAGAGGGCAGCCUUGCCGGGGUCUGACUGCGGGUGAGCUGAGCCCCCAGCACAGCCACUUCUGAAGAGAGAAGCACCAGGCUGCUGGCACUGUUGGGCAUGGACCCUCUUGAAUCCCUUGGAGCUUCUGAGCUCAGUGCUUACCUGAGACUUGGAAGGGGCCAUUGCUGUUGGGAGGGCUCACUGGGGUCCCCACCUGGCAGGGCUGCUGUGCAAUCAUGUUUGAGUCAUUGUGCAUUUCCUAUUUACACCCCUGUGAUGUUGCUCUGUCUUUUCAAAUGUAAAGAGAUACUUUUCUGUGGAUAUAUGAAAUUAUACCUUACAGAUACAUGAAAUUAUACCUUAAAUAACACUGACCUGCUUUUCUGUUUUCAUAGGAAAAGAUUAUCUUUGUAUAUUAAUUAUAGAGAAUAACAGUAUCACACAUAUCCAAUAUGCUUGAAUUGAGCUUUACUAAUGAACUUUAGAAAUAUUUCAAAGUUGUAUUCAUAAGAAUUAUUAACAUUUGUAAGGAAUCUUUAAAUGGAUCAAGCAUUUUAAUUAUUUGAAAACAAUUCUGUGAUUCAUAGUUACUGAAUAAUAACACUAAAAACCAAAAGGAUAUUAGGUUUAAAACUUUUAUUGUGCACUAAAUGUAUUUAUUUGUUUGUUUGUUAUUUGUUUGUAAAGUAAAACCAGGACCUUGCACUUGGCAGGAAGGUGCUGUGCUGCUGAGCUAACUCCCUAGCCUCCAUACUGAUUUUUUGUUCUCCCCUCUCCUCCAGCUUUUCAGUGUUAAAAUUUGUGUCCAGUACACUAAAAUGAAAAUUAUAUUUCAUAAAAUAUCAACAGGACACCAAUAUUCUUGAUUCAAAUGUGCAUGCACGUGGCUAUACAUGUCUCCACCAUAAUCUAAAUAUACCUUAAUAACAUAA